UACGUAGGUGGCGAGCGUUGUCCGGAUUUACUGGGCGUAAAGAGCGCGCAGGCGGUCGGCCAAGUCGAGUGUGAAAGCCCCCGGCUCAACUGGGGAGGGUCAUUCGAUACUGGUCGACUCGAAGGCGGGAGAGGGAAGCGGAAUUCCCGGUGUAGUGGUGAAAUGCGUAGAUAUCGGGAGGAACACCAGUGGCGAAGGCGGCUUCCUGGCCCGUUCUUGACGCUGAGGCGCGAAAGCUAGGGGAGCGAACGGG
rnacentral:rRNA from 1 species